GUUCAAACUUUUGUCCGAGUCU
rnacentral:miRNA from 12 species